UUCUUGAUGAUCCAAUAGUUAAGACUCAGUGCUUCCAACACAGGGGGCACAGGUUCAAUCCCUGUUCAGGGAA
rfam:TPA: Bos taurus chromosome 4, whole genome shotgun sequence.